rnacentral:rRNA from 1 species
AUUGAACGCUAGCGGGAUGCUUAACACAUGCAAGUCGAACGAGUGGCGGACGGGUGAGUAAUAUAUCGGAACGUGCCCAGUAGCGGGGGAUAACUACUCGAAAGAGUAGCUAAUACCGCAUACUAUUGGAUCUGCCGAUAUGGGAUUAGCUAGUUGGUGGGGUAAAGGCUCACCAAGGCCACGAUCCGUAGCUGGUUUGAGAGGACGACCAGCCACACUGGGACUGAGAAACGGCCCAGACUCCUACGGGAGGCAGCAGUGGGGAAUAUUGGACAAUGGGGUAAAGCCUGAUCCAGCCAUGCCGCGUGUAUGAGAAGGCCUUCGGGUUGUAAAGUACUUUUGGCAGAGAAGCGGUAUUUGCAGAAUAAGCACCGGCUAACUACGUGCCAGCAGCCGCGGUAAUUC